UGGCUGUUUUAAUUAACUCCAUCAUAACAUUUAUAUGACCAGGGUAACUUCUCCACUAGAAACUAUGGUGUGCUCACUUGAGACUGCCUUG